UACGAAGGGGGCUAGCGUUGCUCGGAUUGACUGGGCGUAAAGGGCGCGUAGGCGGUUCGUACAGUCAGGCGUGAAAGCCCCGGGCUCAACCUGGGAACCGCGCUUGAGACUGGCAUGCUCGAGUUCGGGAGAGGAUGGUGGAAUUCCCAGUGUAGAGGUGAAAUUCGUAGAUAUUGGGAAGAACACCGAUGGCGAAGGCAGCCAUCUGGACCGACACUGACGCUGAGGCGCGAAAGCGUGGGGAGCAAACAGG
rnacentral:rRNA from 1 species